GGACGGGUGAGUAACACGUGGAUAACCUACCUAUAAGACUGGGAUAACUUCGGGAAACCGGAGCUAAUACCGGAUAAUAUAUUGAACCGCAUGGUUCAAUAGUGAAAGACGGUUUUGCUGUCACUUAUAGAUGGAUCCGCGCCGCAUUAGCUAGUUGGUAAGGUAACGGCUUACCAAGGCAACGAUGCGUAGCCGACCUGAGAGGGUGAUCGGUCACACUGGAACUGAGACACGGUCCAG
rnacentral:rRNA from 1 species